UACGUAGGGGGCAAGCGUUGUCCGGAUUUACUGGGCGUAAAGAGCGUGUAGGCGGCCACGCAGGUCCGUUGUGAAAACUGGAGGCUCAACCUCCAGCUGUCGACGGAAACCGUGUGGCUAGAGUCCGGAAGAGGAGAGUGGAAUUCCUGGUGUAGCGGUGAAAUGCGCAGAUAUCAGGAGGAACACCGAUGGCGAAGGCAGCUCGCUGGGACGGUACUGACGCUGAGGCGCGAAAGCGUGGGGAGCAAACAGG
rnacentral:rRNA from 1 species